AUGAUGAGUGAGGACAGCUAAUUCGAGACCCAAUAUUUGGUCCUAGUCGAAUAUGUGAUAAGGUUUCUGCUGUCCCAUCACACUAUGAGAGAGAGGUAGAAUAUGUUGAUUAUCAAGAAAAUCUACUGAGUUUUCGAUAUCUGAUAGGCUAACUGACCAUAAAAUAGUAACUUCUCGUCGAGUGCAUGCAUGUGUGUAAAGAAGAAAAAUCAAAGUAGAUAUUUCAGUUAGGUUAAGUGAUCAUACAGUCAUGGCAGAAAGUCUUAUGAAUACAUAGAUUUGAUAAUUUGUAAAUUUUUAUCAUAUAUAUUUAUAUUAAACACAUAUAAAAUUAAUCACAAACACGAAUGAUCUAGGGAAAUAAGUGACUCGAGGAUCAAGGCCCUGCUUUGCACUCAAUACAAUGCGAAAAUAUUACAAGCACAAGUAGCUUGGACACAUUUCCCUACCGUCCAUUUUUACCUUGGUUUGCCAUACAUGAUCUGCUGUCACUGACAAAAUUAACAGAAAUCUUGAUUGAUUUGCAUUUUUUUAAAGUAACAGAAAUCUUGAUUGAUUUGCAUUUUUUGUUCCUUUCCAGGGCUGAAACCUUUAAACUUUUACCUAAACUCACGCCCUUAAAUGUCAGAUUGACGGCAAUAUAUGUUAUACCAUGAGCUUUAAGGGACAAAAUCUCAGCAUAAUGGAAAUUAAGGAUUCCUACAUGGAAAAAAGUGCCCCACUUGUUCAUGGUAAGGUAGAAGACAAAGAAGAAAAUUAAAGAUGAUCAGGAUACAGGUCAGGAGUCAGCAUGUGAUAAUUGGUGUUUCGGUGAUUUCUAAGGUAUCAGAAAUCAUUCCAUGAUUUUUAGAAUUAAAAGGCACCUUUUCCUGCACUUUUUAAGGCAAUGACAACUUUUGGUGUGUAGAUACAAUGGAUGAAAUCACAUAUUGAAGCUGCCAUGCCAAUCAACUCAAGGCAAAGAUAUGGGUCAGCUAGUCAAGAUUUUGUUUCCCACAGUAAUAUAUCUAAAUUUCAAAUCCAAUUGCAGGCUAAAACGUACUAGUAGUUUGGUAUCUCACCUCAAUAUUGCGUAUGGAAUUGC
rnacentral:lncRNA from 1 species